CAAUUAUUUAUUUGAUGUAGAUUGCAAAUAUUACAUUUUUUGAACGAAAGAUGCACCCAAGAUUCUUUCUCAGUCAUGAGUUUGUCUUGCUAGUAUUUUUCUAGUCUUGUACCAUGCUUGCGCAUUAUGUUUUCUUGUAUUCUCACUUGAAUUAGGCUUUUUCUCGGAUUUUUCAAACAUUAAUUGCUCUUUCUAGACUUUUUUUCUGCAUCUUUUCCGCAUUGAGGUAGAUAAGUCUAUGACUAUUUAACCAGCCAGCAGACCUCAGUACCCGAUGGCCUUACUUCUCAGGUUCAUAUAGAAAUCCUGAGAUCUCUAGGCUGUCCAUCAGAACAAAAUGAUUGAUUAUCUUAUUUCAGGUUUGUCUUUAUAAAUAUAGAUAUAUACAAAAUUGAUGAUGUUUAUAAAAUUAUACGGAGUAGAACAUAUAUAUACAUAAAUAGAAUAACUGUUCCCAGUGCAUUUUAUUAUUGUGCCAAGAAUAAAAUUGCUUUGAAAAUUGGUUGUAUUGGCUUCAGGAUACAUUCACUCGAGCCAAACAAUGGGUUCAAGAAUUGCAUAGACAAUGUGAGGUCAUCAAAACUGCUUUCAACAUUUCUGAAGUCCGCUUUAACUGAAACUCCUCACAAAGCAUCACCAGCAACUCCAUGCUAGACCAAGCAGGGGAGUAGCUAAAUCAUAAUCUGAUUCACCCUCUCCUUUGCAAAGUUCACGCCUUUCAGUUGAUACGUCUCCACUGGUUCCCUCGAAGCCCACCAUAAGAUCACCAAAACUUGCUACCCCACCUGAAGUCACUGCAAUUAAAACUAAUAACCUUUUUGUGGAGACAUCUUCCUUGCCAAGGUUGGGAUGGAGUGCGGCGUCGGGAUUUUGCAAAGUAAGGCAUGCACUUAAAAUUAUAUUGUUUAGAAUGUUGAGGUUAUAAAGUCUAGUGGUCCUGAUUAUUGUGCUUGAAACUUGGGGUAGGGCUUUUAAAAACAACCUUUUUGCUUUAUGUAUUUCAGACUAGAGAAUUUUGAGGCUAAUUCAUUUGUUUGAUAUGUCAAAGGUCAUGCUUGUUGAUUCUUUGAGCUUAUGUGCCUUAGUAGAGGUUCUGACAGUGUGUAAGUAAGGGUUGAUGCACGAUGUUUCUUUUA